rnacentral:rRNA from 11 species
GAAGAGUUUGAUCAUGGCUCAGAUUGAACGCUGGCGGCAGGCUUAACACAUGCAAGUCGAGCGGUAACAGGGGGUGCUUGCACCCCGCUGACGAGCGGCGGACGGGUGAGUAAUGCAUAGGAAACUGCCCAGUAGUGGGGGAUAGCCCGGGGAAACUCGGAUUAAUACCGCGUACGCCCUUCGGGGGAAAGCAGGGGAUCUUCGGACCUUGCGCUAUUGGAUGUGCCUAUGUCGGAUUAGCUAGUUGGUGGGGUAAAGGCCUACCAAGGCGACGAUCCAUAGCUGGUCUGAGAGGAUGAUCAGCCACACUGGAACUGAGACACGGUCCAGACUCCUACGGGAGGCAGCAGUAGGGAAUAUUGCACAAUGGGCGAAAGCCUGAUGCAGCCAUGCCGCGUGUGUGAAGAAGGCCUUCGGGUUGUA